UACGUAGGGUGCGAGCGUUAAUCGGAAUUACUGGGCGUAAAGCGUGCGCAGGCGGUUUGUUAAGCCAGAUGUGAAAGCCCCGGGCUCAACCUGGGAACUGCGUUUGGGACUGGCAAGCUAGAGUACGGCAGAGGGGGGUGGAAUUCCACGUGUAGCAGUGAAAUGCGUAGAUAUGUGGAGGAACACCGAUGGCGAAGGCAGCCCCCUGGGCCGAUACUGACGCUGAGGAGCGAAAGCGUGGGGAGCAAACAGG
rnacentral:rRNA from 1 species